CAUUGUAAUUACAUACAACACAGGCCCUGCAAAUUCUGCAUGUUCUGCAAUAUUUUGUAUCCACUUUUUAUCUACUGUAACUGCAAUUAUAGGAGUUUUUAUAACAAUGCAAUUGUUAUAAAUAUAUAUAUGUACUGUAUGUGGUAAGGUGAUUAUAUAAGUUAUAUUGUGCAAGGUUAUAACCUCAGAGGACAUUAUCCUUCAUUUUAUACAAAUAUAAACAGACACAGUUCAUUACUCUUGCAGAUCAGCUUUUGAAUCCCCCUCCUCUCGAGUCACCUCUGGGAAAUUGUCAAUAAAACAUCUUUGAUGUCAGUGAAGUGGAAAGUUGUGGAGGUAUUUGUGAUCAAUUGAUUUUACUUCAAUGUUGACUAGUUUUAUGUACAAAUCAUGCCAUAAACGCAUACAUAAUAGCAGAGAAACAUUUGUUCCUUUAUGCUAAUAACCUUGAAUUUCUCUCUCCGUUCAUCUUAGCCGUGACGAUGACAAAGACCUUGAAUGGGCUGCAGCUGCAGUCGUCCAGCUUUACUAAGAUUGAGGAUGUUAUUGACAAUUCAUGAGUUAGAGCUAUCUCCACAGCGCCCAUCUCCACAGCGCCCAGCUGGCUUUAAAGUGCUGCAUCACGGACUAAUUAUGAGGAGAAAAAGACACGAACAAACAGCACUAAUAAAAGAACAGAGGAAGACAAGGCCUUCAAGAUAAGCAGCCCUCAGCCGCAAACACACAAGACUCAGAAACGGCGGAGAAAAAGAAAGAUGAAGUUCCCAGAAAAUGACGCUCAGAUGCUAGUUGAAAUGCCCUAAAAAAGAUGUCUGGUGGUGAAGAAGUUCUGCAAGAGUCUGUAACAACAGAAACCCUCAGUGAUGCCAUAAGAAGACAAGUGGUGAACAUACUGAUGGCUCACAGGAUUAAUAAACAUAGGCACCUUCCUGCUAAACCAAUCAGAGAGGAGAACCUGAGGAUGGUGACAUCUUCCAAAACCACCUGAAGUCUCCAGGAAUCAGUGCAUGGGAUGCAGUCGAGAGACUUGCUGUCUUUUAUAAGUCAUGCUGCAGUUUAGAGGAACAUCUCUGGGACCAACGGGUUCUGCAGCCAUACCUCCUUGCUGUGUGAUGUCAGAAGAGCAAGAUUGACAUCCUCUACAUCAUCGUGGAUAAGUGACUCAUCCCAUGCCAAGCAAACUGCUUUCUUGCAGCAUUUUAUGAGUUAUUCAAAAGACAUUUUGUGUUAUGUCUGUUAUGACUCUGUAUUAAUGAAUUUUUAUACAUUUUUGCAUUGUAAAACAUUGAUGUUGGCAAAAUGAAGGAAUCAACUAGAGUGGGGGACUUUUAGUUGACAAUCACUUUUUCCUUUGUUACCUAACAGCUAUUUACAGAGACCUUUGUUUAUUUUUCAUGCUUUCAGGGUUUUUUAUAGUGAAAGAUAUCUUGUGAAAAUCCCAGAUCUAAACUUUUAUAAGCCUUUUGAUAUUCAAAACUCGUAUGGAAUGCUAAUGAAUGUUUGUUCACUAUACAACAGCUUAAAAUGUUGGAAACACAGCUGCAUAAAUAAAACAAUUGUUUAAACUUGA